rnacentral:misc_RNA from 1 species
UUAAGAUUAAAAAGAAGAAGAAAAAAAUAUUUCAAUUAUAACAACUAAGACAAAUUUCAAACAUACCAUUUAGCCAGUAUAAAUGCUAUACCUUAAGAGAGCAAGAUUACAAAUUGAAUUACAGUUGAAGAACUAUUUACAUCACAUUUCUUCUUUUUUCGGUGGUACCAUUCCUAUAGAUCCCCCAGUUGGUGGACCACCAUCACAUUCUCAUGACUAAUGGCAGUCCAACCAAUCAUCAUUUAUUAUUUGGGGUUCACCCAUUCCCAAAUCACAAGAGUAAGUUUCACUUUUAACUUUUUAUUUUUGUGAAAAAGAAAAAGAUAGUCUCCUGUAAGAUAAUGGAAUUCUAGGAUUCUUCAUACAAAAUGGGGGAGAGAGUUCAAGUAAAUCUUUCAACUAUAUAUUCUCAAUACUUUCAGAACAUCUGUUUGAGUUUUUCCAUCAGAAUUUCCAUUCCUUUUGUAGAUGCUCACCACUGGGCACACUUUCAUAUCUUCUGUUUCAUUCUAAAUCCUCCUCUAAUAUAGUUUCAACCAUCCAUUUCAUAUUUUCCCCAUUGUUUGGCUUCAAUCCUCACUUUAAUGGUGAGAUCAAAACAGGGACAGGUGACAAUGAUUAUUAAAAACCUUUCAGUUACCUAUUCGUAUAUCCACAAAGUGCUACCUUAUUAAAAAAAAUCCAUAAGAACUAGAAUCUUUCUCCUCACUUUAUUAUUUUUCCUUCCAGCAAUAAAAUUAGCAUUCGAAUGCAGAGACAGAGAUGUAUUUUAAAACAG